rnacentral:rRNA from 1 species
UGAAGGUUAGGUCUACCAGGCGUUGGUUGUCCUGGGGAAAGGCGGUAGGCAUGAUUCUUAGGCAAAUCCGGGAAUCUUUAUGCCGAGCACCGAGACGAGUCCUUUGGGACGAAGUGACUGACACCACGCUUCCAGGGAAAGCCACUAAGCUUCAGCUGUAGAAAAACCGUACCGCAAACCGACACAGGUAGGCAGGGUGAGAAUCCCAAGGCGCUUGAGAGAACUCGGGUGAAGGAACUAGGCAAAAUGGCACCGUAACUUCGGGAGAAGGUGCGCCUCUUGGUGUGGUCACGUGCGUGACUGAGCAUCGAGGGGUCGCAGUAACCUGGCCGCUGCGACUGUUUAUCAAAAACACAGCACUCUGCAAACACGAAAGUGGACGUAUAGGGUGUGACGCCUGCCCGGUGCUGGAAGGUUAAUUGAUGGGGUCAGCCGCAAGGCGAAGCUCUUGAUCGAAGCCCCAGUAAACGGCGGCCGUAACUAUAACGGUCCUAAGGUAGCGAAAUUCCUUGUCGGGUAAGUUCCGACCUGCACGAAUGGCGUAACGACAGCGGCGCUGUCUCCACCCGAGACUCAGUGAAAUUGAAAUCGCUGUGAAGAUGCAGCGUUCCCGCGGCAAGACGGAAAGACCCCGUGAACCUUUACUAUAGCUUUACACUGAACGUUGAGUUCUUCUGUGUAGGAUAGGUGGGAGGCUAUGAAACCAGGACGCUAGUUCUGGUGGAGCCAUCCUUGAAAUACCACCCUGAAGUGCUUGACGUUCUAACCUAGGUCCGUAAUCCGGAUCGGGGACCGUGUAUGGUGGGUAGUUUGACUGGGGCGGUCUCCUCCCAAAGAGUAACGGAGGAGCACGAAGGUACGCUCAGCGCGGUCGGACAUCGCGCACUGUGUGCAAAGGCAUAAGCGUGCUUGACUGCGAAAUCGACGGAUCAAGCAGGUACGAAAGUAGGUCUUAGUGAUCCGGUGGUUCUGUAUGGAAGGGCCAUCGCUCAACGGAUAAAAGGUACUCCGGGGAUAACAGGCUGAUACCGCCCAAGAGUUCAUAUCGACGGCGGUGUUUGGCACCUCGAUGUCGGCUCAUCACAUCCUGGGGCUGUAGCCGGUCCCAAGGGUAUGGCUGUUCGCCAUUUAAAGUGGUACGCGAGCUGGGUUCAGAACGUCGUGAGACAGUUCGGUCCCUAUCUGUCGUGGGCGUUGGAGAUUUGAGGGGGGCUGCUCCUAGUACGAGAGGACCGGAGUGGACGUUCCGCUGGUGUUCGGGUUGUCAUGCCCAUGGCAUUGCCCGGUAGCUACGAACGGAAGUGAUAACCGCUGAAAGCAUCUAAGCGGGAAGCACGCCCCAAGAUGAGAUCUCCCGAGAGCUUGACUCUCCUAAAGGCACCAUCAAGACUAGGUGGUUGAUAGGCACGGUGUGGAAGUGCAGCAAUGCAUUGAGCUUACGUGUACUAAUGAGCCGUGAGGCUUGACUAA